AGCCCAGACACAGGACAUCCACGACGCGUUUCUCACGCUUCAAAAGGAAGAAUGCUGCAUCCUUUAGGGAGGGGAAGUGCCCUUUUCAGCAAACCCAAGAGCCAUCCUCACCCCAUUGGUUUUCCUAAAUUAUCUCUAAGCAGAUUAUCCCGCUCUACAGAACACAGAAUCCUCCACGGAGCCCCGGAUGGACGCUGAGCCCAGGUCCUCAGCUAAUUGCUCACAUCCUCUUCCGAUCCAGUAAGGAAUUAUCCCUCCGCAGCAGUGGAGUCUUGGAAAGAUGCGAGUGGUGAGUCAUGCAGGGCUGGGAGUGAGGCAGGAGUGGCAAGGACAGAGGACGGAGAGCACACACGCUACUUAUGGAGCCACAGAAUGAGGCUCAUCAGCCAAUUCAGCCAAUUAUACCGCUGCAACAAUUAAGUGACCUCACAGUAGUAGGAGGAAGUGUAAACAGAGUUCACAACACCACCACGCUCCAGGCCAAGAAAAAGCAAGCUUGGCCCUUGUGGUGGAAAGGCAUUGCUCUCAUCUGCCCAACACCCUCUCCCCUUUCCAUCUGCUCACUGAACGCCUUCCCGUGGGAAACCUGUUCAUGCACUGGGGCAGAGAGCCAAGAAGGCAUCCGCCACUCUCGGGAGAGCAAGGAAGCCAGCUACUAAUCAGGGAGAAAAGAGC
rnacentral:lncRNA from 1 species